GGGAGCGUGGCGGAAUUGGUAGACGCGGCGGACUCAAAAUCCGCUGGGGGCAACCUCUUGAGAGUUCGAUUCUCUCCGCUCCUACCA
rnacentral:tRNA from 1 species